rnacentral:rRNA from 1 species
GAUGAACGCUGGCGGCGUGCCUAACACAUGCAAGUCGAGCGGAAAUUCGGGAAGUAGUAAUACGGACUGGAUUUUAGCGGCGGACGGGUGAGUAACACGUGAGCAAUCUGCCUUCUGCAGGGGAAUAACAUUGUGAAAACAGUGCUAAUACCGCAUGACAUCCGAUCGGGGCAUCCCGGACGGAUCAAAGGAGCAAUCCGGCAGAAGAUGAGCUCGCGUCCGAUUAGCUAGUUGGUGGGGUAACGGCCUACCAAGGCUCAGAUGGGUAGCCGGCCUGAGAGGGUGAACGGCCACACUGGGACUGAGACACGGCCCAGACUCCUACGGGAGGCAGCAGUGAGGAAUUUUGCGCAAUGGGGGAAACCCUGACGCAGCAACGCCGCGUGAGCGAUGAAGGCCUCGGUCGUAAGACUCUGUCUCAAGAAGAUAAUGACGGUACUUGUAGGAGGAAGCCCCGGCGUAACUACGUGCCAGCAGCCGCGGUAAACAUA